rnacentral:rRNA from 1 species
AUUGAACGCUGGCGGAAUGCUUUACACAUGCAAGUCGAGGGGCAGCACGGGUAGCAAUACCUGGUGGCGACCGGCAAACGGGUGCGGAACACGUACGCAACCUUCCCAUAACUGGUGAAUAGCCCUCCGAAAGGAGGAUUGAUACACCGUAACUUAACGAAGUGGCAUCACUUUGUUAAUAUAGGCUUCGGCCGGUUUUGGAUGGGCGUGCGCCUGAUUAGGUAGUUGGCGGGGUAACGGCCCACCAAGCCUGCGAUCAGUAACUGGUGUGAGAGCACGACCAGUCACACGGGCACUGAGACACGGGCCCGACUCCUACGGGAGGCAGCAGUGAGGAAUAUUGGUCAAUGGACGCAAGUCUGAACCAGCCAUGCCGCAUGCAGGAAGACGGCCCUACGGGUUGUAAACUGCUUUUAUAUAGGAAUAAACCCCUGAACGUGUUCGGGGCUGAAGGUACUAUAUGAAUAAGGAUCGGCUAACUCCGUGCCAGCAGCCGCGGUAAAGUAGACGUCC